rnacentral:rRNA from 1 species
UUCCGGUUGAUCCCGCCGGAGGUCAUGUUAUCGGGGUUCGAUUAAGCCAUGCGAGUCGAGAGGGUUCGGCCCUCGGCGUACUGCUCAGUAACACGUGGAUAACCUGCCCUAGGGAAGGGGAUAACCCCGGGAAACUGGGGAUAAUACCCUAUAGGUUACAGAUGCUGGAAUGCUCUGUAACCCAAAGUUCCGGCGCCCUAGGAUGGAUCUGCGGCCGAUUAGGUUGUUGUUGGGGUAAUGGCCCAACAAGCCAGUAAUCGGUACGGGUUGUGGGAGCAAGAGCCCGGAGUUGGAUUCUGAGACACGAAUCCAGGCCCUACGGGGCGCAGCAGGCGCGAAAACUUUACAAUGCGGGCAACCGUGAUAAGGGAACCUCGAGUGCCUGCAAAUGCAGGCUGUUUAGGUGUUUAAAACGCACCUGGAGAAAGGGCCGGGCAAGACCGGUGCCAGCCGCCGCGGUAAUACCGGCGGCUCGAGUGGUGGCCACUUUUAUUGGGCUUAAAGCGUUCGUAGCUGGGUUGUUAAGUCUCUUGGGAAAUCUGGCGGCUUAACCGUCAGGCGUCUAAGGGAUACUGGCAAUCUUGGAACCGGGAGAGGUGAGGGGUACUUCGGGGGUAGGAGUGAAAUCCUGUAAUCCUCGAGGGACCACCUGUGGCGAAGGCGCCUCACCAGAACGGCUUCGACAGUGAGGGACGAAAGCUGGGGGAGCAAACCGGAUUAGAUACGCGGGUAGUCCCAGCCGUAAACUAUGCGCGUUAGGUGUAUCGGUGACCACGAGUUACCGAGGUGCCGAAAGGGAAACCGUGAAACGUGCCGCCUGGGAAGUACGGUCGCAAGGCUGAAACCUUAAAGGAAUUGGGCCGGGGAGCACACCAACCGGGUGGGAGGCUGGCGGUUUAUUGGAGUCAACGCCCGGG